AUUGAACGCUGGCGGCAGGCCUAACACAUGCAAGUCGAGCGGGGUUUUCGGACCUAGCGGCGGACGGGUGAGUAAUGCGUAGGAAGCCGCCCGAUAGAGGGGGAUACCAGUUGGAAACGACUGUUAAUACCGCAUAAUGUCUACGGACCAAAGUGUGGGACCUUCGGGCCACAUGCUAUCGGAUGCGCCUACGUGGGAUUAGCUAGUUGGUGAGGUAAUGGCUCACAAAGGCGACGAUCUCUAGCUGGUUUGAGAGGAUGAUCAGCCACACUGGAACUGAGACACGGUCCAGACUCCUACGGGAGGCAGCAGUGGGGAAUAUUGGACAAUGGGCGCAAGCCUGAUCCAGCCAUGCCGCGUGUGUGAAGAAGGCCUUCGGGUUGUAAAGCACUUUCAGCGAGGAGGAAGGGGUGUGUGUUAAUAGUACACACCUUUGACGUUACUCGCAGAAGAAGCACCGGCUAACUCUGUGCCAGCCGCCGCAGUAAUAC
rnacentral:rRNA from 1 species